rnacentral:rRNA from 1 species
GACGAACGCUGGCGGCGUGCCUAAUACAUGCAAGUCGAGCGGACAGAAGGGAGCUUGCUCCCGGAAGUUAGCGGCGGACGGGUGAGUAACACGUGGGCAACCUACCCUGUAGAUCGGGAUAACAUCGAGAAAUCGGUGCUAAUACCGGAUAAUCAUUUGAAGUGCAUGCUUCGAAUGUAAAAGAUGGCUCCGGCUAUCACUACGGGAUGGGCCCGCGGCGCAUUAGCUAGUUGGUAAGGUAAUGGCUUACCAAGGCAACGAUGCGUAGCCGACCUGAGAGGGUGAUCGGCCACACGGGGACUGAGACACGGCCCAGACUCCUACGAGAGGCAGCAGUAGGGAAUCUUCCGCAAUGGACGAGAGUCUGACGGAGCAACGCCGCGUGAGUGAUGAAGGUUUUCGGAUCGUAAAGCUCUGUUGUUAGGGAAGAACAAGUGCCGUUUGAAUAAGGCGGCACCUUGACGGUACCUAACCAGAAAGCCACGGCUAACUACGUGCCAGCCGCCGCGGUAAGAC